rnacentral:rRNA from 1 species
UACGUAGGCAGCAAGCGUUGUUCGGAGUUACUGGGCGUAAAGGGUGUGUAGGCGGUUGUUUAAGUUUGGUGUGAAAUCUCCCGGCUCAACCGGGAGGGUGCGCCGAAUACUGAAUGACUAGAGUGUGGGAGAGGUGAGUGGAAUUCCUGGUGUAGCGGUGAAAUGCGUAGAUAUCAGGAGGAACACCGGUGGUGUAGACGGCUCACUGGACCAUAACUGACGCCGAGACACGAAAGCGUGGGUAGCAAACAGG